GGGUCAGUAGGUUGGUCGUGCCACCGGUACGUACUGGUCUCACUGAUUCCUCCUUCCUGAAGAACCGUAAUGCCAUUAAUUUGUUGUUGCGGGGAAACAGGACUGUUACUUUGAAAAAAUUAGAGUGUUUAAAGCAAGCUAACGCUUGAAUACAUUAGCAUGGAAUAAUGAAAUAGGACGAUCGAUCCUCUAUUGUUGGUUUCUAGGAUUGACGUA
rnacentral:rRNA from 1 species